GAUGGACGCUGGCGGCGUGCCUAAUACAUGCAAGUCGAGCGAACGGACGAGAAGCUUGCUUCUCUGAUGUUAGCGGCGGACGGGUGAGUAACACGUGGAUAACCUACCUAUAAGACUGGGAUAACUUCGGGAAACCGGAGCUAAUACCGGAUAAUAUUUUGAACCGCAUGGUUCAAAAGUGAAAGACGGUCUUGCUGUCACUUAUAGAUGGAUCCGCGCUGCAUUAGCUAGUUGGUAAGGUAACGGCUUACCAAGGCAACGAUGCAUAGCCGACCUGAGAGGGUGUUCGGCCACACUGGAACUGAGACACGGUCCAGACUCCUACGGGAGGCAGCAGUAGGGAAUCUUCCGCAAUGGGCGAAAGCCUGACGGAGCAACGCCGCGUGAGUGAUGAAGGUCUUCGGAUCGUAAAACUCUGUUAUUAGGGAAGAACAUAUGUGUAAGUAACUGUGCACAUCUUGACGGUACCUAAUCAGAAAGCCACGGCUAACUACGUG
rnacentral:rRNA from 1 species